UAGAGUUUGAUCCUGGCGUCAGGACGACGCUGGCGGCGUGCUUAACACAUGCAAGUCGAACGGAAAGGCCCUGCUUUUGUGGGGUGCUCGAGUGGCGAACGGGUGAGUAACACGUGAGUAACCUGCCCUUGACUUUGGGAUAACUUCAGGAAACUGGGGCUAAUACCGGAUAGGAGCUCCUGCUGCAUGGUGGGGGUUGGAAAGUUUCGGCGGUUGGGGAUGGACUCGCGGCUUAUCAGCUUGUUGUGGGGUAGUGGCUUACCAAGGCUUUGACGGGUAGCCGGCCUGAGAGGGUGACCGGCCACAUUGGGACUGAGAUACGGCCCAGACUCCUACGGGAGGCAGCAGUGGGGAAUAUUGCACAAUGGGCGGAAGCCUGAUGCAGCAACGCCGCGUGCGGGAUGACGGCCUUCGGGUUGUAAACCGCUUUCGCCUGUGACGAAGCGUGAGUGACGGUAGUGGGUAAAGAAGCACCGGCUAACUACGUG
rnacentral:rRNA from 1 species